rnacentral:lncRNA from 1 species
UUAUCUUCGACGAUCAAGAACAAAAAAGCUCCCAAGACUCUGCCUGAUCGCUUGCCAGGGAGCUGGAAACACCCACACCGGCUGCUCCAGUGCUUGCAAAAGUUCACCAGCUAUUCUAACCAGCAAAGUUCAUUAAAAAAGGGCUGAUGUCUCACUCAUGCAUCAUGAAGACAGACAAUCACACCCUGGAAUUGUGCAAUUCACCCAGUAGCUUGCCCCAAGAAUAGAAGGACAAAGCUAUUCUGAAGAUAAUGAAGGAAGAGCCAAUAGACUGUCAAGGGAGAGCUGCACUGGCAAUGAUGAAAGCAAGGAAGGUGGUAGAGCCACCAAGAAUGAGACAAGAACUAGGAUACUUUGGAACGAAAGGAAUCAGUGGAUUUAUUCAUUGGAGUGAUGGAGAGGUGCUCUCAGGUUAAAAAGAUAUGUCCAAUUUAACUGCUGCCGAAGAGGGUCACUAAGUAGUUGGUCUAUGAUUCCAGAGUCUUGAAGGAGGAUUCUGCUUCCUUUCCCCUACAAAAUGGUUUGGAAGACAAUCCUGUUUUUCUUCAAUGACAGGGAUACAGUGACUGAGGUAUGGAUGAACUGAAAUACAUCUUUUGUGGGAGGGGGAAAGGAUUAGAAACCAUCAACAUGCUGUGGUGUACUGAACAGUAUGCCACAUUUUCCAAGUGAAAAGAGGAAAUCUUUAAAGUUGGGAUUUGCUUAGUAUGUGCCCCAGUACCUAUGUUUGGCUCAGCAUCCACAAAUUCUUGCUUCUCAGGACCUUUUUAAAAAACAAACAAACAGUUCCUCUAUGUGAACUGAGUUUGCAUUGAUUAGUGAAAAAUCUUUAAUGAAAGCAAACUUGACAUCAUUUCCAUUGAUAAUAAACCUAUUAAAAAGAAGCA